CAGUGACAGAGCCAGUGGCUGAGGGCCUGGGUAUGGGGGGCAGUGACGUAGCCAGUGGCCGAGGGGCUGUGUUUGGGGUUCAGUGACGGAGCUAGUGGCCGAGGGGCCAGGUUUGCGGUGCAGUGACGGAGCUGGUGGCCGAGGGGCCGGGUUUGGGGGGCAGUGAUGGAGCCGGUGGCCGAGAGGCUGGGUAUGGGUUUGGGGUGCAGUGACAGAGCUGGUGGCUGAGGGGCUGGGUUUGGGGGGCAGUGACGGAGCCGGUGGCCGAGGGGCCAGGUCUGGGGUUCAGUGACAGAGCCGGUGGCCGAGGGGCCAGGUCUGGGCUUCAGUGACGGAGCCGGUGGCCGAGGGGCCAGGUUUGGGGUUCAGUGACGGAGCUGGUGGCCGAGAGGCCAGGUUUGGGGGGCAGUGAUGGAGCCGGUGGCCGAGGGGCUGCGUAUGGGGGGCGGUGACGGACCUGGUGGCCGAGGGGCUGGGUAUGGGUUUGGGGUGCAGUGACAGAGCUGGUGGCCGAGGGGCUGGGUUUGGGGGGCAGUGAUGGAGCCGGUGGCCGAGGGGCUGCGUAUGGGUUUGCGGUGCAGUGACGGAGCCGGUGGCCGAGGGGCCAGGUCUGGGGUUCAGUGACGGAGCUGGUGGCCGAGGGCCCAGGUUUGGGGGGCAGUGAUGGAGCCGGUGGCCGAGGGGCUGCGUAUGGGUUUGCGGUGCAGUGACGGAGCCGGUGGCCGAGGGGCCAGGUCUGGGGUUCAGUGACGGAGCUGGUGGCCGAGGGCCCAGGUUUGGGGGGCAGUGAUGGAGCCGGUGGCCGAGGGGCUGCAUAUGGGUUUGCGGUGCAGUGACGGAGCCAGUGGCCGAGGGGCUGGGUUUGGGGGGCAGUGACGAAGCCGGUGGCUGAGGGGCUGGGUAUGGGUUUGGGGUGCAGUGACAGAGCUGGUGGCCGAGGGGCUGGGUUUGGGGGGCAGUGAUGGAGCCAGUGGCCGAGGGGCUGCGUCUGGGGGGCAGUGACGGAGCUGGUGGCCGAGGGGCCAGGUUUGGGGGGCAGUGACGAAGCCGGUGGCCGAGGGGCUGGGUAUGGGUUUGGGGGGCAGUGACGGAGCUGGUGGCCGAGGGGCCAGGUUUGGGGGGCAGUGACGGAGCCGGUGGCUGUGGGGCAGAGUUUGAGGUGCUGGAUGUGCACCCGUACACAGCAGCUGCCUGGCCCCACCUAGGCCUUGUGGUCCAGGUCGGCGG